GACGAACGCUGGCGGCGUGCCUAACACAUGCAAGUCGAGCGGGGUUGAAGCGAGAGGUAACUCGAGCUUCUACCUAGCGGCGGACGGGUGAGUAACGCGUGGGCAACCUGCCUCAAGGUUUGGGAUAACAGCCCGAAAGGGCUGCUAAUACCGGAUAUGCCUAUGGCCUCGCAUGGGGCUAUGAGCAAAGGGGAAACCCGCCUUGAGAUGGGCCCGCGUCCCAUCAGCUAGUUGGUGAGGUAACAGCUCACCAAGGCGACGACGGGUAGCCGGCCUGAGAGGGUGACCGGCCACACUGGGACUGAGACACGGCCCAGACUCCGUACGGGGGGCAGCAGGUGGGGGAUCUUGCAACAAGUGGGACGAAAGCCUGAUGCAGCGACGCCGCGUGAGCGAAGAAGGCCGUUCGGGUUAGUAAACCUCUGUCCUUGGUGACGAAAAAAAUGACGGUAGCCAAGGAGGAAGCCCCGGCUAACUCCGUG
rnacentral:rRNA from 1 species